CUUUUCAUCCAAGAACAUGGCAUCUCUCUGCAUUUAUAAGAUAAUUAAUUUUUUUUCUUGUCGUAUCAUGUACCUUUCUGCACAUAAUUGGAUAGAUGUAUUUCUAGGGAAUUGAUGGGUUUUGAAUGAUAUUGUAAAGGCAUUUGAAGUAUUUAUUUUGAGAUUGUAAGAGAAGAGCUUUUCACUGCAUAUUUCCCCUCAUCAGCCAUCUGCAGCCGCGAGUGCAGUGAAGACAGGGAUUGCGGGAGAGGAAAACAGUGCGUCCAGGAUGGCUGUCGGCGAGUCUGCUCCCCGCUGAUGAGUGCAGGUAUCUGUGUGGAGCAGUGCCGAGAAGACCAGGACUGCGCGGCAGGAGAGAAAUGCAUCAGCAAUGGCUGUGGCCACGUGUGCUCACCAGCCCCGCAAGCAAGUAAGGCUGAGCCCCCUGCCCAAAUUACUGGGCUUAAAAGGACAAUGCACUUGGUCCUGCCCAACCUUUCAACAAAUGUUCAACAGUAAUUUAUCUUGAGCAUGGUUUUGAAUGUUUUCAACAUAAAACAUUCAAAGGAUGGGGUGUUCUUUGAACUCCUUCCUCACGGUACUGUGCAUUUAGUCCUUCUCAAUUUUUUCCAGCACAGUCACUUUACCACUCCCCAAAUAUAUAUCUAUGGUUGGAAAGUAAGACUCUACAACCAAAGCUAUAGAAACAAAUAAUGGUACCCACACUCCCUUUGCCCAGAGAAACACCAUUGUUGGUCAUUCCACAUUACUCUGUCCAUGUGUAUGGACAUGUUGGUAAUUGCACAUUUUUAACUCAUUAAGAUAUUUAGCCUUCCCUCAGCGCAUUUCAGUUUCAACUUUUUAUUAUGGGACAUCUAUGUACAAAGCAGACAGAUUGGUAGAACAAUGCACCAUGUACCCAUCACCCAACCAUUGUCAACGUGUGGUCUUUCUUCCUUCAUGUCUAACCCCACCCACUUCCCCCAUCCCUGUUAUUUUCAGAUUCCAGGC
rnacentral:lncRNA from 1 species